UAAAAUGUAAAAUUAAUAUUAUUAAAUUAUUAUGAGUUAUGGUCUUUAAAGUUAAAAAAUUUGGCGGUAUUUUAGUCUUUUCAGAGGAACCUGUCCUAUAAUUGAUAACCCACGAUUAGAAUUACUUAUUUUAAAAAUUUGUAUAUCGUUGUAGUUGAAUAUUUUACUAGAAUAUAAAAUGUUCAAAAUUUUUAAUAAAAAUAUAAAUCAGAUCAAGGUGCAGUUUAUAUAUAAGAAGAGAUGGGUUACAGUAAAGUUAUUUAUGGAUUUUUAAUUUAAACAUUAAAAUAAAAUUGGAUUUGAAAGUAAUUUAAUUAAUUUUAAUUAAAUGAUUUUGGCUCUAAAAUAUGC
rnacentral:rRNA from 1 species